UCGGCGGACUGCUCAGUAACACGUGGAUAACCUGCCCUCAGGUGGGGGAUAAUCUCGGGAAACUGAGGAUAAUACCCCAUAGGCCAUUGAUGCUGGAAUGCUCUCUGGCCGAAAGCUCCGGCGCCUGAGGAUGGGUCUGCGGCCUAUCAGGUAGUAGUUGGGGUAACGGCCCAACUAGCCUGCGACGGGUACGGGCCUUGAGAGAGGGAGCCCGGAGAUGGACUCUGAGACACUAGUCCAGGCCCUACGGGGCGCAGCAGUCGCGAAAACUUCACACUGCGGGAACCCGUGAUGAGGGAACCCCAAGUGCCUGGGCAUUAGCUCAGGCUGUUCACCUGUCUAAAAAACAGGUGGAGUAAGGGCUGGGUAAGACCGGUGCCGGCCGCCGCGGUAAUACCGGCAGCCCAAGUGGUGACCAUUUUUAUUGAGCCUAAAACGUCCGUAGCCGGUCCGGCAAAUCCCUGGGCAAAUCGGGCAGCUCAACUGUUCGACUUCCAGGGAGACUACCGGACUAGGGACCGGGAGAG
rnacentral:rRNA from 1 species